CGGGGUUUCGGGCGGCCAUGGCGAAUUUUCGGCAGGAUUUUACCCCAGUGAAGAAGGCUUGUAAUUUACCCUGAUCAGCUAAGAUGUUAUUUCACUGGAUUAUUUAAUGGAUAGACUUAUUGGGCAUAUAUUUGGAUAUCUCUGGAUCAGCUAAGAUGUUAUUUCACUGGAUUAUUUAAUUGGGCAUAUAAUUGGAUAUCUCUGUCCUCAACAUGGAAGUUAUGUUUUAUUCCUAACCAUCUAUAAUCCAUUCUCUAUGAAGUUCAGCCUGUCUGCCCAAAUUCCUUUGGAAAUACAUAGUUAGUCAACCAACAUAGAAACAAUCAAACUUGAAGGGAAAGAAUACUACAAUGUGGCUCCUCAGGAUCAACAGUGAAAAAUCUUAAUCAAUAAUGACCCUCCUGACUAUGUCUAAAGGCUGUAACCUUUAUAGCUGAUGUAAGAUGAUCUGAUUGCAUGGCAUUAAAAUUUCCUGGUGUUUCUACCAUCCAGGAUCUUCUUAUGAGUGCAUGGGGACUGCUGUGGACCUUAACCUGUUUAUAAAAAUAUACCUUGGAGCAUGACACAUUAUUCAUAUAAGGAUUCUCAAUGGGGAACUCAGUAAAUUAUGCACAGACUAACAGAAUAUACUCUCUUGGAACACUGAUACAAGAAUAUAAAACCAGAGAUGGAUGGAGGACUCAAGAAGCACAUGAAUAAAUAUGAUUCCAAACUAAGUCAAUCAUGAUGAUCAUGAAUUGUGGUUCACAGGAUAAGAGAGAAAGGACCCAGGAUUGUGCAUUUUUCUAGAUCCUCUCCCAUUCAUAUCCUUCAUAUGCUGGCAUACAAAACAAUAGAUAAAUUGUAGUCAUUUAAUAGACUGAAG